GUUGACCCGACUGUGAUGGAGGGGGCGGAGUCAGAGUCAGGUGAUCAGGGUUCCUCUCAGACUGGUUUAAACAACUACUUAAAGUGAAAGCGAGUCUGUUUGAGUGCAGAAAGAGGAACAUGGACAAAUACACACACACACACGCGCACACACACUCACACACUCACAGAGUGUAUUUAAGCAGGUGCAACAUGUAGUGUAAAUGAAGCCUAAAAAUCCAAAUCGUAGUGAUUUUCAUAUGCUAAGGAUCAUCCAGACAGACAAAGUGAGAGAGGGCGAGCGAGAGAGUGAGACAGUGUGAGAGACGACGAUGGUGAGAGUGAGAGAGGCAGAUGGUAAGAGAGACAGGUUGAGAGUGUGAGAGAGACAGUGAGAAUGAGAGAGAUAGCAGCCCAGCUCUGUGUGUGUGUGUGUGUGUGUGUGUGUGUGUGUGUGUGUGUGUGUGUGUGUUUUGACUGCCAUCAGACCUUUGAUCUCAUGUUGUGUGUCUGCACAGAGAGAGCGAGGCAGAGAGAGAGCGAGAGACCGACAGAGUGAGAGACAGAGUGAGAGCGAAAAAGACAGAGCGAGAGACAGACAGCGAGAGACACAGCGAGAGACACAGCGAGAGACAGACAGCUCGAGAGACAGACAGCUCGAGAGACAGACAGCUCGAGAGACAGACAGCUCGAGAGACAGACAGCUGGAGAGACUGAGCGAGAGAGAGAGCACGCGAGAGACUGAGCGAGAGACAGACAGCGAGAGAGCGCCGAGAGACAGACCGCGAGAGAGAGUGCGAGAGACUGAGCGAGAGACGGACAGACAGCGAGAGACUGAGCGCGAGACUGAAUGCAAGAGACAGUGAGAAAGAGAGCGAGAUAGCAUGAGAGACUGAGCGAGAGAGAGCAAGAGACAGACAGACCGAGCAAGAGAGAGACAUAUAGAGGGACAGACACAGCGAGAGAGAGACAUAUAGAGAGACAGACACAGCGAGAGAGAGAGACAUAUAGAGAGACAGACACAGCGAGAGAGAGACAUAUAGAGAGACAGACACAGCGAGAGAGAGACAUAUAGAGAGACAGACACAGCGAGAGAGAGACAUAUAGAGAGACAGACACAGCGAGAGAGAGAGAAGAGCUGUUUACAGUUCGCUAUUAAAUGUGACCUCCCAAUCCGAAUCUGGCUAAAAACAAUUCGGUCUUCUUUAGAACCCUUCGCGCUCUACAGACGUGAGGUCUGGGGUCUGAUCACAAACCAAGAGUUCAGUAAAUGUGACGAACCCCCAGUAGAGACUCUGCAGGUAGAAUUCAUUCACGCACGUUCCACGCCCACGUGAAUAUAGUGAUCCAGACAACCUCCAUCACAAAGCACUGAGAUACCAGGAGCUGACCCCGGAGAGAAGCCUCCUCAGCAAGCGGGUCUCACGGCUGACUUUACAAUCCAAAACGUGUCCAGACCAAAAGCCCAGACAGACCACGUCACAUUCUUCAAACACGAGAAGAAACAACAGCACCGCAAAGUACACGAGGACCUUAUCUGUCCCUGAACUGGCACAACACCUGGGCACAGUGACCCAGCCUAAACCAAGGGAAGUCCUGACCACGUACACACUCGGUGAACACAACCUGUCCACACACACACACACACACACACACACACGGACAGAGACAUGGUGGCCCUAAUUCUACACACAUACACUAAUCCUACGCCGAGCAUGAACAAACACCUGCUAGGAGAAACCUCAGCGAGAUCAAACCGACUGCCGUCACGUUUCUGAAGUCCUGCCACGACAAAAGAGUAACCAGUAGAACAGGAACCGGGGCACGAC
ensembl:lncRNA